rnacentral:rRNA from 1 species
UGGGGAAUAUUGGACAAUGGGCGAAAGCCUGAUCCAGCCAUGCCGCGUGUGUGAAGAAGGCCUUUUGGUUGUAAAGCACUUUAAGCGAGGAGGAGGCUACUUAGAUUAAUACUCUAGGAUAGUGGACGUUACUCGCAGAAUAAGCACCGGCUAACUCUGUGCCAGCAGCCGCGGUAAUACAGAGGGUGCGAGCGUUAAUCGGAUUUACUGGGCGUAAAGCGUGCGUAGGCGGCUUCUUAAGUCGGAUGUGAAAUCCCUGAGCUUAACUUAGGAAUUGCAUUCGAUACUGGGAAGCUAGAGUAUGGGAGAGGAUGGUAGAAUUCCAGGUGUAGCGGUGAAAUGCGUAGAGAUCUGGGGGAAUACCGAUGGCGAAGGCAGCCAUCUGGCCUAAUACUGACGCUGAGGUACGAAAGCAUGGGGAGCAAACAGG